GGGAGCUUAAGCAGCUCGUGCGACAGCGCCCAAUCUAGCUGUGAGGAUCGCUGAUGAGGUGGAUCGUGGCCCCUGGGCGUCCGUGAUGGCUUUGGCUGGGACAGCUGGAGAGAAGAGGAGACGGAGGGGAAGGACAGGAGUAGGUAGAGACUCAGGCAGCUAAUAUCUGUAAACAAGUGAAAACCUGUGGAGCCCUCAGCCGCCGAAUCCACCAGCCUCUGUGGUGGUGUCUGAGGGGGUUGUGCUGGGCAUUGACUUCCUCAGUGGCACCCUCCGCUGCGGUUCUCUGCGGAGAAAUCCCCGCCUUCCAGGGCGAGGUCCUUAAGGAUGAAAGCUGCCUCAGGUGUCCGAGCACGCGUCAGGGCUGUUGAGGUCUUCAGCGGAAACAGCUGAAGUCCUUGGCAGAGCCGAGCCCUGGGACCUGGGGUGGCUCCCGCUCUGUGGCUGGCACCGGAGCGGCCCCUUUCUUCCUCAUUCCUCGCUGUCCCGGAGCAGCUCAGUCUCUUUGGGAUUUUCUACUUAUGCCCUGGCUGAUCAAGUCAUCUACAAGGUUCAGCCCGAUAGAAGAUUCUGCGCAAUAGAAGAUUCCCCUUUUUAUGCUCCAUGACUGUGGACGAUCCUAUUAUGUAGUUCCUAGAGCUAAGAGGUGA